rnacentral:rRNA from 1 species
GAUGAACGCUGGCGGCGUGCCUAAUACAUGCAAGUCGAGCGAAUGAUGAGGAGCUUGCUCCUCUGAUUUAGCGGCGGACGGGUGAGUAACACGUGGGUAACCUGCCUGUAAGAUGGGGAUAACUCCGGGAAACCGGGGCUAAUACCGAAUAAUAAAAGAGGAAGCAUUUCUUCUUUUUGAAAGUUGGUUUCGGCUAACACUUACAGAUGGGCCCGCGGCGCAUUAGCUAGUUGGUGAGGUAACGGCUCACCAAGGCGACGAUGCGUAGCCGACCGGAGAGGGUGAUCGGCCACACGAGGACUGAGACACGGCCCAGACGCCUAGGGGAGGCAGCAGUAGGGAAUCUUCGGCAAUGGGCGAAAGCCUGACCGAGCAACGCCGCGUGAGCGAGGAAGGCCUUCGGGUCGUAAAGCUCUGUUGUCAGGGAAGAACAAGUACGAGAGUAACUGCUCGUACCUUGACGGUACCUGACCAGAAAGCCACGGCUAACUACGUGCCAGCAGCCGCAGUAA